rnacentral:rRNA from 1 species
CGAACGCUGGCGGCAGGCUUAACACAUGCAAGUCGAGCGAGAUCUUCGGAUCUAGCGGCGGACGGGUGAGUAACGCGUGGGAACGUGCCCUUUGCUACGGAAUAGUCCCGGGAAACUGGGUUUAAUACCGUAUACGCCCUUCGGGGGAAAGAUUUAUCGGCAAAGGAUCGGCCCGCGUUGGAUUAGGUAGUUGGUGAGGUAAUGGCCUACCAAGCCGACGAUCCAUAACUGGUUUGAGAGGAUGAUCAGCCACACUGGGACUGAGACACGGCCCAGACUCCUACGGGAGGCAGCAGUGGGGAAUCUUAGACAAUGGGGGCAAC